rnacentral:rRNA from 1 species
AUGCAAGUCGAGCGGUAGGCCCUUCGGGGUACACGAGCGGCGAACGGGUGAGUAACACGUGGGUGAUCUGCCUCGUACUUCGGGAUAAGCCUGGGAAACUGGGUCUAAUACCGGAUAGGACCUCUUGUCGCAUGGCUUGGGGUGGAAAGAUUUAUCGGUGCGAGAUGGGCCCGCGGCCUAUCAGCUUGUUGGUGGGGUAAUGGCCUACCAAGGCGACGACGGGUAGCCGGCCUGAGAGGGCGACCGGCCACACUGGGACUGAGACACGGCCCAGACUCCUACGGGAGGCAGCAGUGGGGAAUAUUGCACAAUGGGCGGAAGCCUGAUGCAGCGACGCCGCGUGAGGGAUGACGGCCUUCGGGUUGUAAACCUCUUUCGACAGGGACGAAGCGCAAGUGACGGUACCUGUAGAAGAAGCACCGGCCAACUACGUGCCAGCAGCCGCGGUAAUACGUAGGGUGCGAGCGUUGUCCGGAAUUACUGGGCGUAAAGAGCUUGUAGGCGGUUUGUCGCGUCGUCUGUGAAAACUCACAGCUCAACUGUGAGCUUGCAGGCGAUACGGGCAGACUUGAGUACUGCAGGGGAGACUGGAAUUCCUGGUGUAGCGGUGAAAUGCGCAGAUAUCAGGAGGAACACCGGUGGCGAAGGCGGGUCUCUGGGCAGUAACUGACGCUGAGAAGCGAAAGCGUGGGUAGCGAACAGGAUUAGAUACCCUGGUAGUCCACGCCGUAAACGGUGGGCGCUAGGUGUGGGUUUCCUUCCACGGGAUCCGUGCCGUAGCUAACGCAUUAAGCGCCCCGCCUGGGGAGUACGGCCGCAAGGCUAAAACUCAAAGGAAUUGACGGGGGCCCGCACAAGCGGCGGAGCAUGUGGAUUAAUUCGAUGCAACGCGAAGAACCUUACCUGGGUUUGACAUACACCGGAAACCUGCAGAGAUGUAGGCCCCCUUGUGGUCGGUGUACAGGUGGUGCAUGGCUGUCGUCAGCUCGUGUCGUGAGAUGUUGGGUUAAGUCCCGCAACGAGCGCAACCCUUGUCCUGUGUUGCCAGCACGUAAUGGUGGGGACUCGCAGGAGACUGCCGGGGUCAACUCGGAGGAAGGUGGGGACGACGUCAAGUCAUCAUGCCCCUUAUGUCCAGGGCUUCACACAUGCUACAAUGGGCGGUACAGAGGGCUGCGAGACCGUGAGGUGGAGCGAAUCCCUUAAAGCCGUUCUCAGUUCGGAUCGGGGUCUGCAACUCGACCCCGUGAAGUUGGAGUCGCUAGUAAUCGCAGAUCAGCAACGCUGCGGUGAAUACGUUCCCGGGCCUUGUACACACCGCCCGUCACGUCAUGAAAGUCGGUAACACCCGAAGCCGGUGGCCCAACCC